GCCUUUGUGGUAUAACGGUAGCACACUCGGCGCGUAUUCGAGAGGUGCAGGUUCGAGUCCCGUGGAGGGCA
rnacentral:tRNA from 1 species